AGAGAGCCAACACACAGGUGCUGCAUGGCUGUCGUCAGCUCGUGUCGUGAGAUGUUGGGUUAAGUCCCGCAACGAGCGCAACCCUUAUCCUUAUUUGCUACGCGAGGGCACUCUAAGGAGACUGCCGGUGACAAGCCGGAGGAAGGUGGGGAUGACGUCAAGUCCUCAUGGCCCUUACGGGUAGGGCUUCACACGUCAUACAAUGGUCGGUCCAGAGGGCAGCGACCCUGCGAAGGUGAGCCAAUCCCAGAAAGCCGAUCGUAGUCCGGAUUGCAGUCUGCAACUCGACUGCAUGAAGCUGGAAUCGCUAGUAAUCGCGGAACAGCAUGCCGCGGUGAAUACGUUCCCGGGUCUUGUACACACCGCCCGUCACACCAUGGGAGUGGGUUUUACCAGAAGUGGCUAGUUUAACCGCAAGGAAGACGGUCCCCACGGUAGG
rnacentral:rRNA from 1 species